AACGUAGGAGGCAAGCGUUAUCCGGAUUUACUGGGCGUAAAGGGCGUGUAGGUGGUUAGGAAAGUUGGCUGUGAAAGCUCCUGGCUCAACUGGGAGAGGUCAGUCAAAAACUUCCUGACUUGAGGGUCGGAGAGGGGUGUGGAAUUCCCGGUGUAGCGGUGGAAUGCUUAGGAGAUCGGGAAGAACAUCAGUGGCGAAGGCGGUCUGCUGGGCCGUUGCUGACGCUGAGGCGCGACAGCGUGGGGAGCAAACAGG
rnacentral:rRNA from 1 species